CCAAAGUAAAGGACUGUGUUUACUUUCUUUUAUACUCCAUGUGUGUGAUGAGGUCCCAUCAGACCAGAAGUCACCCUUGACUAAAACCACAACUUUAAACUUGGCCCAACAUCCAGUGCCUUGUCCCCAGGGGUGCAAAUAUGGACUGGAAAGGACCCUAAUUUAUCUGCCCUGCCCUGAGGUCUGGGCUGGGAUGUAGCCCAGGUCUCAUCUAUCCUGAGGGGCCUUCCAGAUGGACACAUGGACAGCCAGUUCUGGCCCCCUGACUUACUCCUCUGUAGUGAAAACAGACUCAGUAAACACAAG
rnacentral:lncRNA from 1 species